CCUACGGGAGGCAGCAGUGAGGAAUAUUGGUCAAUGGACGAGAGUCUGAACCAGCCAAGUAGCGUGAAGGAUGACUGCCCUAUGGGUUGUAAACUUCUUUUAUAUGGGAAUAAAACAGGGUAUGCAUACCCUCUUGUAUGUACCAUAUGAAUAAGGAUCGGCUAACUCCGUGCCAGCAGCCGCGGUAAUACGGAGGAUCCGAGCGUUAUCCGGAUUUAUUGGGUUUAAAGGGAGCGUAGGUGGAUUGUUAAGUCAGUUGUGAAAGUUUGCGGAUCAACCGUAAAAUUGCAGUUGAUACUGGCAGUCGUGAGUACAGUAGAGGUAGGCGGAAUUCGUGGUGUAGCGGUGAAAUGCUUAGAUAUCACGAAGAACUCCGAUUGCGAAGGCAGCUCACUGGACUGCAACUGACACUGAUGCUCGAAAGUGUGGGUAUCAAACAGGAUUAGAUACCCGGGUAGUC
rnacentral:rRNA from 1 species